UACGGAAGGGGCAAGCGUUGUUCGGAAUCAUUGGGCGUAAAGGGCGCGCAGGUGGCUCUGUAUGUCUGCCGUGAAAGCAUACAGCUCAACUGUAUUGUGUCGGUAGAAACUGCAGGACUUGAGGCUGGGAGGGGCUGGUGGAAUUCCCUGUGUAGCGGUGAAAUGCGUAGAGAUGGGGGAGAACACUCGUGGCGAAGGCGGCCAGCUAGACCAGUUCUGACACUGAGGCGCGAAAGCGUGGGGAGCGAACAGG
rnacentral:rRNA from 1 species